GUUCCUUCAUCUCCUUAUCAUUUCCGCUGUCCAGACAGAUUAAUGUUAAAAUGACCUGGACGGAGAACUGAUAAGGGCAAGCAGGGAC
rnacentral:pre_miRNA from 1 species